UUGUUUCUGUAUGUUCGUGUGAUGUAGAUGCAGGUGCUUAUUUCAGUCCUUGCUCUAAAUUUCCUUUGCCCUGGUCGGUUGAUUUUGCUCGUCUGUGUGAUGUAGAAGUCGGCGGUAAUGGUCAAUCCUUGCUCCUUGCUCUGAAUUUGGUUCACCAGUCAUUUUUUAUUCUGAUGGCCGUUGUGAUGUGGAUGCAUGUCCUAAUUGUCAAUCCUUGAUCUGAAUUUAGGUUCAAGUGAUGUAGAGAUGUAGUUGUAAUUUAGGCAAACCUCCCUCGUCUGAAGUCGGGUCCUUAGUCAUGUGAAUGUUCUUAUUCAUUCUGUUUUGGUUCUGUAUGUAUUUGGUGGUUUGUGUUGUAUCUUCAGCUAUUUUUUGUUCAUGAAUUUCUCUGCCCUAGUACUUCUAUAAUGAGGUGUUGGUACUUUAGAUGCUAUCUCCUUAUUAGGUUGUGUAAUUUUCAGUUUUGGUGUUGUGCAAUUUCAGUUUUUCACUCAUUCUGUAGUAUGGUUUGGUACAGUCAUGUCAGUGUUGUUGUAUCCUCAUAUAUUUGAUGCUUAGGGUUUUGUGUGUGUUAUAUUUCAGGAUCAUGACGAGAAUGAACUUCUCUUUCAUGUAAUGGUUUAGAUGAGUCACGGUCCUGUUCGCUGCCAGUCUUUUUCCCUUCCCGACUAGAUGAAUAAAAUAUUAAUUCCAUUCGGGCAGGUGAGGAAGGGCGGCGUCGGCUUGACCAUGUCUUCUGUCUUAGUCGUUUCGGAGACUAAGUUUCUCAUUCAAUGGUGAGGUGUUUAUAGAAAGCAAGGCCUCGCUCGACGAGUCAUGUAGUCAUAGGUUUGAGUUCCCUAAUCAGUAGUGUAAGUUCCACAAGUAAGUAGUGUAACUUCCAUUUGAAUUCCAUUAGUUUGCAACGUUUUUGAAUUUGUAUCACACUGGUGAGUUUCCUAGUUUUUUAGUACUGCAAGUUCCAUAGGCAAGUAUUGGAAGCUUCCUAGUUUUGCAAUGCCCACUUGCACUUUUAGAACCUAACAUUUUGGGUUUCUCUUUGUUGGAUUUGUAUUGAAUCCAGUUUACCAUUUGAAAGUCUAAAUGGAUAUUACUGAAACUAAAGUGUAAUCACAAUGUUCUAAUCUCUUAAAUGCAUGUGUUUUUAUUAGAAAUCUGGUGUAAUUUUACUGAAAUUUGUACUGUGAGCACAAUGUAUGUUUCAGUGAAAUUUUAGUGGAAUUAUUAUGUGCAUUUUCAGUGGAAUUAUAGUGCUUUUGAAUUGUAAUUACAGUGGGGAUUUCAGUGUAAUUACAGUGAGUAUUUUAGAGUAAUCACAUUAUCUUUUUAGUUAAUUUACCCCUCAGGAUGUUGGGUUUUGUCAUUGUUGAUGCAUUCACUUUAGAACAAUUUAUUUUCUUUUGUUAGGGUUAUUGGUAUACUCGUACUUUAUUUCUGCCCAUUUGUGUAAGCAACCUUAGUUGUGCACAUGAUUUUCUAGUAUAUGUAAUUUCAGCAAUUUGGUAACUAUAUUUUCAGUGUUUUUAGGCUUAUAGCUACUAUAAUUUACUACUUUGGAAAUGCUCUUUUUUUGCACUGCACAUGCUAAAUUUGUGGUUAUUCUAUGUCCCCAGUGCUUUUAUGCAAACUGACCAGUUUAGUGCCGUGGAAUAGAUAGAUUAUGUGAUCUCUGCAAAAUUUCUGGUGAUUUUGCAGGUGCUUAGGGUUUAGGGUUUCCAUACUCCAAUAGCCUAUCUGAUUUGGUGUUGUUCCCUUGUUAUUUCUUUCCACCGGCUCUCCAUGUACUAACAGUUCCAGAGCUCCUGAACUGUUAGAUAUUGUUGUACUGUUCUUCUUCAUAUAAUAAAGAUUGGCCAAUGGCCCUUCGAGAUUUUGCAGGUGCUCAAAGAUGUGCAAUUAACUAGGAGUUGAAAGUGAAGCUACCGUUGACAUGUCAAGUGCUCAAAUAAUGUGUAUUUUCUCUAGUGUAUUUUCAUUGUGUUCUUUGCAGUCAAUGUGUAAUUACAGUGCAUUUCAGUAGAGUUACAGUGCUUUUUAUUUGUAACUAGAAUGGAAUUUCAGUGCAAUUACAGUGGGGAUUUUAGUGGAUUUUCUAGAGUAAUCGCAGUUUACGUCACAAUGUAAUUACGGUGAAUUUUUAGUCUCACUACAGUGGGCAUUUAAGAGGAUUUUGAGAGAUAUUAUACUGCAUUUCGUUGUAUUUUUCGCAGUCAAAUUGAACUGCAAUUACAUUGUCUUUUACAGUGUAAGUACAAUGUUUUUCAGUGUAAUUACAAUGUAUGUUCAGAGUAAUUACAGUGUAUGUAAUUUUUCAGUGGAUAUUCAGAGUAACACACUGUAUGUAAUUACUGUGAAUUUUCAAUGUAAUUACAAUGGGCAUUUAAGUGGAAUUUCAGAGUUAUUAAACUGUAUUUCCAGUGUAUCUUUGUAGUUAAAUUGAACUGUGAUUACACUGUUUUUUAUAGAGUAAGUGUUG
rnacentral:lncRNA from 1 species